GGCCCCAUCGUCUAGUGGUUAGGACAUGGCGUUCUCAACGCUAAAAGAGGGGUUCGACUCCCCUUGGGGCCA
rfam:Candidate division WWE3 bacterium RIFCSPLOWO2_01_FTLL_53_14 rifcsplowo2_01_scaffold_22538, whole genome shotgun sequence.